AUCUUCAGCCCGGCCAUGGACCGCGCGACGCGGCGGCGGCCAGAAUCCUUCUCCUCCACGCGACAUGGCCGCCGGGCUCCUCCUCCCCAACGCGCCGUGGACGGGGGCGGUCUCCUGUGCCCGGACGAGGGCGACGAGAUCCACGGCAGCCCCGGGAUCCUCGUCGGGGAGUCCAUGAUGGCCGGGAUCCUCGUCGUGGAGUCCACGGCGACCAGGAUCCACAGCAGCGACGGGAUCCUCGGCGCUCAGGCGACGCGGCGGCCGGGAUCCACCCAGCCUCCAUCGAGCACCGCCGUCCAGGGACCACCGGUUCGCUGGAAUCAGGUGCUGCUAGCAUUGACGAAUCAGUCGCCAUGGUGGAGAUCAAGGUUAGAUGACUUAGAGUUUUGCACCCAUGAUGUGGCUGGCAGGUGGUGUCACCUGCAGGAGUUAGAACCUGUUUUUUUUAAAAACAUUUCUGCUUAUCCCAAGGUAUCCUUCCAAGCAACUUCACUGCAAAGGGAAAAUCACUGUAUGUGCUAGUUUUAGGCCGCACUAAUGUAGUUCAAUUAGAUCUUGUAAAAUAUAUUUUCUGGUUAGAUGACUUUAAUAUGGCAACAAUGGUAGUGAAGUACAACUUACCAUAACUUGAGCUUUUAAUCCAGCUUUGUGGUCUUCUGGUCUUGCAAGCAUGUUUCAUUAUCCUGAAGAUUCACUCAAGAAAAAUGAACCUGAUGUGAAUAUUGAUUUGAAAAAGCUCAUGGAAAAGGUGAAUGGGGCCUGAUGAGCUGAGAUGGAUCAGUUCAGACUUCUGAGAAGCUCAAGUGGCUCCUAAAGGUACCCGAUCUGAAUGAGAGCACUUCAGAAGUUCAACAAAUCAUGCUGGAAUCUGAUGUGCCCAACAUGAUAAGAACCUCUGCGGGCGUGGCCCACCUCCGCCUCCAACGGUUACGAUUCUGCUUUAGCAUUGAUUUUGGUUAUUUUUGUUUCUGUCUAUUGAAUGCUGAAUCUUCUAAUUUUUUGUUCACUUGCUUGAAUAAAUUUACACGAGAUACAAACAGUUCACUCGUCUGUCUUCAAAUCAUUGUUUUUUCGGUUGUGUUUGAGUUCAUAUUUUUUGUUCUACGCUUAUUCCUGUUAUUUUGUCUUGGCAUAUUACAGCUGAUGGGAAAAUAUGCUCUAAAAAAUUCUUAUUCAGAGCAAUCAGCACUUAAAAGUUUGAAUACUCCUUCAAAAUGGUAAGCUAGCUGUACAUACACAUUCUGAUGUGAUUAUGAGAAGCAAUGUUGCAGCAGAAUUCAAGUAUUGUAGCCAGCCAAAGGGAGAAGUAAUGUAGCCGCAGAUUAUAAGAAGUGAUAGCAUUUUUUUAUUCUUGUUUCCAUGUACUUUCUCUUGUGAAUACAAUGUAUUCAGUCAAUGUGGCUUUGUAGUAAUCUAGGACUAGUUGAUCUCGCUUUAGGUAAUGUAUAAAGCAGAUCAGACCUGUGAAUUCGUGAUUUGUAUAAUGGAUAAAACAUACAUAUUCAUGAUGUAUAUAAGACAUAUUUGAUGUCCA